GGAAUCUUCCACAAUGGACGAAAGUCUGAUGGAGCAACGCCGCGUGAGUGAAGAAGGGUUUCGGCUCGUAAAACUCUGUUGUUAAAGAAGAACAUAUCUGAGAGUAACUGUCCAGGUAUUGACGGUAUUUAACCAGAAAGCCACGGCUAACUACGUGCCAG
rnacentral:rRNA from 1 species